ACGGAAGGCAGCAGUGGGGAAUUUUGGACAAUGGGGGCAACCCUGAUCCAGCCAUGCCGCGUGUGUGAAGAAGGCCUUCGGGUUGUAAAGCACUUUCGGCCGGAACGAAAUCGCGCGGGUGAAUAUCCCGCGUGGAUGACGGUACCGGAAGAAGAAGCACCGGCUAACUACGUGCCAGCAGCCGCGGUAAUACGUAGGGUGCGAGCGUUAAUCGGAAUUACUGGGCGUAAAGUGUGCGCAGGUGGCCGCGCAUGUCGAGUGUGAAAUCCCCGGGCUUAACUUGGGAAUUGCGCUCGAAACUACGUGGCUCGAGUGUGGCAGAGGAAGGUGGAAUUCCAGGUGUAGCGGUGAAAUGCGUAGAGAUCUGGAGGAACACCGAUGGCGAAGGCAGCCUUCUGGGCCAACACUGACGCUCAUGCACGAAAGCGUGGGGAGCAAACAGGAUUAGAUACCCUGGUA
rnacentral:rRNA from 1 species